UACGUAGGGUGCGAGCGUUAAUCGGAAUUACUGGGCGUAAAGCGUGCGCAGGCGGUUUUGUAGGCCAGAUGUGAAAUCCCCGAGCUUAACUUGGGAACUGCAUUUGGGACUGCAAGGCUAGAGUACGGCAGAGGGGGGUAGAAUUCCUGGUGUAGCAGUGAAAUGCGUAGAUAUCAGGAGGAAUACCGAUGGCGAAGGCAGCCCCCUGGGUCGAUACUGACGCUCAUGCACGAAAGCGUGGGGAGCAAACAGG
rnacentral:rRNA from 1 species